rnacentral:rRNA from 1 species
GGGUAAUUUGCCGUGAAGUCUGGGAUAACUUGCUGAAAGGCGAGCUAAUACCGGAUGUGAUUGCUGGGGGGCAUCCUCCGGCACUCAAAGUCGGGGACCGCAAGGCCUGACGCUUUUCGAUAAACCCGCGGCCUAUCAGCUAGUUGGUGAGGUAACGGCUCACCAAGGCGAAGACGGGUAGCUGGUCUGAGAGGACGACCAGCCACACUGGAACUGAGACACGGUCCAG